rnacentral:ncRNA from 1 species
CUUGAAUAUGAAGCCGUGUACUUUCUGAAAGGUGGUUGAUAUUUGCACUUUAUGAGUUUUUAUGCAAGAAGAACCUUUUUUUAUUUGAACGUUUUUAUCCCAAAUGCUUCCAAAACAGGUGUUUGUAUCAUCACCUCCACUUUGAAUUUCUGAAUGGUGGUUGUCACCAUGGUGACCACUGGUAACGAGGAAUCAGGGUUCUAUUCCAGAGAGGGAGCCAGAGAAAUGGCUACUGCAUCCAAGGAAGGCAGCUGGAGAACAAAUUACUCACUUCUGGCUCAACGAGGAAGUGUCAAA